CGACGAGCUGCUUUGCCUCUCAAGUAAUUCUCUAUAUAAUACACACACAUGGGGGGUUUUGUGUUCUUCUCGUUUCCAUUUUCUUGAUUAAAAAUCAUGUCAUGGGAAAUUUGAUGUCCUCUAAGUUUAUUUUUAUGAUUAUUAUCUGCCAGUACAGGAAUUAUCAUUUUUGAAUUGUGGCUGUUCAGUUAUAGCAAAAAG
rnacentral:misc_RNA from 1 species